rnacentral:lncRNA from 1 species
UUUUCAGACCGUACCAAAGAAAGUUUCUAUUCCUCUGCAACCAAAUUGACUCUGUAUUGAAUCGAUAAAACGACCACUUCAUGUAAAUUUCCAAUAUAAAUAGACAAGCUUGUUGCUUAUCCAAUAUUAGCUAAAAGAGAGAGACUCUUACAGCAAGCUAAGGAGAAAGCUAUCCGUGUGUGUAAGUUAAAUUCAGUUUAGCUAAUAUAUAUAACAAGCAGGAGGCCCAAAAAAAGAGAAUAUGAAGAACGUUAUGAAGAUUGUGUUUGUGCUUUCCAUCAUCAUGUGCGUCCUCCUAACACCUACCGUUGCUAGGAGGUACGUGAGUGGUGGAACAAGGGCUAGUAAUGAGUAUAGUCGUGGUGGAACUGCAACCACAACCACACGGGUCCUAGAAGCCCCAGCUGGGGCUCCCCGCGCCCGCGCCAGCAACAACUCAUCAUCAUCCACCCCCUUGUGCAUGUCCUCUGUGGCUAUGGCUCUAUUUGCUUACCUUUCAUUUGUUUACUUUUGAUAGAUAAAUAUCGGGGGAGGGGGUUCAGAAUUUAGAUUUUGUGGGUUGCGUUGUGACCUGUGACUGUGAAUUCUACCAAUCUACAAUUGUUUUUCUCUAUAUACAUAUAGGAGUUUGAUGACUAGUCACGGGUUUCUAAGGAACCACGAAACCGUGGUUAGGUUUGAAACUGUUACUAUUAUAGUAUUUGUAUAAACUGCAUUUGUGGCAAAAAAAGAAAGUAUAUUAUUGGCUGAUGUACUGAGGCCAUGUCAUAAUGUAAUCUGUUGGUGUUUUGUAUAAAAUCUGAUUUUAAAAUUAAAAUUCCUUGUCAUGUGAUUGACUAUGUGCUGCUGGAAAUUUGAAGCUGAAUUUGGAGUUGGGAAAAUUGAUUGAAGUAGAACUGCAGUUUAUUAAGAGCAACUGGAAUCAGAACCUGUAGGUAAAUGAAAUAAACUAAGCAGAAAAGGUG